GACGAACGCUGGCGGCGUGCUUAACACAUGCAAGUCGAACGGAAAGGCCCUGCUUUUGUGGGGUGCUCGAGUGGCGAAUGGGUGAGUAACACGUGAGUAACCUGCCCUUGACUUUGGGAUAACUUCAGGAAACUGGGGCUAAUACCGGAUAGGAGCUCCUGCUGCAUGGUGGGGGUUGGAAAGUUUCGGCGGUUGGGGAUGGACUCGCGGCUUAUCAGCUUGUUGGUGGGGUAGUGGCUUACCAAGGCUUUGACGGGUAGCCGGCCUGAGAGGGUGACCGGCCACGUUGGGACUGAGAUACGGCCCAGACUCCUACGGGAGGCAGCAGUGGGGAAUAUUGCACAAUGGGCGGAAGCCUGAUGCAGCAACGCCGCGUGCGGGAUGACGGCCUUCGGGUUGUAAACCGCUUUCGCCUGUGACGAAGCGUGAGUGACGGUAAUGGGUAAAGAAGCACCGGCUAACUACGUG
rnacentral:rRNA from 1 species